rnacentral:lncRNA from 1 species
UUUUUUACAAAUAUUCAUAAUAAGACCGAAGACAAUCCAUAAGCUGGUGCUUCAUGCAGCGCCAUCAUCAUCCGAAGAGUCCAGCAGGUACGGAUCUAAGUUAGCCUUGAUCAGCUUUUCCUUGCCAAGACUUCGGCAGAGCUCGUAGCUUUCUUUGUGAAUCCUCAUGAUUUCUCCGUUUAUUUCGUCCGAGUUCCUAUACUCUUCACAAAUUUCUUUGCGAAGAGCAUCAGUCAAAGGAGGCCCAAGGUCCCGAAGAGCCUUGAGUUCUCGGAUUUCUUGCUCGAGCUGCUGCCGUAUAUUCAGUUGAUGCUUUUCAUCCCGCUCCAUCUUAUGGAUCGUCUUGGUCAAGAUUUUGGCAUUGGACUUCAACUCCUUG